rnacentral:rRNA from 1 species
UACAGAGGUCUCAAGCGUUGUUCGGAUUCAUUGGGCGUAAAGGGCGCGUAGGCGGCGCGGUAAGUCACUUGUGAAAUCUUUGAGCUUAACUCAGAACGGCCAAGUGAUACUGCAGUGCUAGAGUGCAGAAAGGGCAAUCGGAAUUCUUGGUGUAGCGGUGAAAUGCGUAGAUAUCAAGAGGAACACCUGAGGCGAAGGCGGGUUGCUAGGCUGACACUGACGCUGAGUGCGCGAAAGCCAGGGGAGCAA